rnacentral:rRNA from 1 species
UACGUAGGGACCGAGCGUUAUCCGGAUUCAUUGGGCGUAAAGAGCUCGUAGGCGGCUAUUCAAGUCGAACGUGAAAUCUCGGAGCUCAACUCCGAGCCUGCGUUCGAUACUGGGUAGCUAGAGUCUGGUAGGGGGAUCUGGAAUUCCUGGUGUAGCGGUGGAAUGCGCAGAUAUCAGGAGGAACACCGGUGGCGAAGGCGGAUCUCUGGGCCGUAACUGACGCUGAGGAGCGAAAGCAUGGGGAGCGAACAGG